AUGGCAAGGCUCGGCGUGGCCUUGCUCGCGCUCCUGGCGGCCGCCGCGGCGGUCGCCUGCCUGCCGUCCCCGGCCUCCGCGGGCGAGCUGGCCUCCAUGCUGCUGUCGCGCGCGGCGGCCUGCGACGGGGUCAUCGGGGAGUGCGGCGUGGACGAGGACGAGGAGAUGGUGACGGGCGCCGGUGAGGCCCUGCGCCGGUCGCUGGUGCGGAAGUCGACGGCCAGGUACAUCAGCUACGCGGCGCUGCGCGCCGACCAGAUCCCCUGCGACAAGCGCGGGGCGUCCUACUACAUCAACUGCGGGUCCAUGCAGCAGGCCAACCCCUACACGCGCGGCUGCUCCGCCAUCACGCACUGCGCGCGCAACAUGAACUGA
rnacentral:rRNA from 1 species